rnacentral:lncRNA from 1 species
GAAUCAGCUUCUUUCUAUAUAUAGGUGUAAAUCUUAUACUCUAGAUUUUGUAUGGCUAGGAUGUCGGAUUGUUGGGCUACCAUUAAGCUCAAAAGUUUGAGCUAAUAGAAAUACGCAACCAAUUCAUUUAAAACGUAUAGAUAUAGUACCCACGGGUUUCGAUUGUGAUUCUGCCUAACCAACUUUAAGCGCUUCGAACAUGACUUAAUCCUACUUGGCCUCCUGCCAUUUCGAACAUGACUU